ensembl:lncRNA
GAGAAAAGGAGAAAAGGAGAAAAGGAGAAAAGGAGAAAAGGAGAAAAGGAGAAAAGGAGAAAAGGAGAAAAGGAGAAAAGGAGAAAAGGAGAAAAGGAGAAAAGGAGAAAAGGAGAAAAGGAGAAAAGGAGGAUAGAUGUUACAGAACAGUUGGAGGAAUGCCUGGAAUGAGACAUCCCUGUACAAGAAAUGCAAAAAUCCUAAUAGCCUUUUAUAUAUUCAUGAAUUAAGUGACAGAAAGGCUAAGCAGGAAAGUCCCACUGUUACAGAAGGGAAUAUUCACACAGCUCCUAUUAGCUGUUGUUUUCCAACACUGCAGUCUUCAGGGGAAUUAACACAUUUCCUAUUGAGAAAGAGGAAAACAAGACAGCUCAUUUAUCUGGAGGAGCGUCCCCGUCUUAUCACAGUAUCUGAGCAGAUCAAAGCUACCAGACACCACCAGAACCAGCACCAAAAGAUGUGGAACAUCUGAAGAAACUCUUCAUUCCAUCAUGUAAAUUAAAUGGCAAAAAAAAAAAAUGUUUGUGGCUCCACUGCCUUUAGAGAUGUUUUGCUGCAGUGCUGACAUAGUGGCAAUGAAUCUGCUCUCACCGUUAGAAAAGUAUAAUGGACUGCCUGAGUCUGUGCCUCCUGCUCAAACCUGUAAGGCAUACAGAGACAAAAAGUAUUUGGCAGUGCUUAAAAUACCUCAUCCUCGUUUGUAUCUGUGCUUCUCAAUCUGCUGAAAGGAACUGCAUCUAGCUUGAAAACUUUCAGCUGAAAGGGAUUCUGUAACUUUAUUUUCCAUGUGUGCCCUUAAAAUGGUCUGAAUUUCUAAGGAAUCCUAGGAGUUUCAAAGUCAGUUUUUACACUGACACGCGAGUUUUUCAUAUCAUGUAACAAGUGCCAACGAUGUUACCCAUACUUCAAUGCUAUCUCCAUAAAAAUUUUCUAAGUAGACUUCGUUAAAAAAAACCAAAAGUCCAUAAGAUCACCUGCACAAAAUGAGAAAAGUGAGUGUGAUUUAUUCAGUGCCCUGCUAGUUUAAGAGAUUAAAGCUAUUACCACGAUCGUCACAAAGAUUUGCAGUGAUCUGUAAGUGUGAAGGUUUGACUACACGGAGUAUAUCCGGAUGGUGCCCUCCGACUCCUGCUCUUUGUAUUACUUCAACUAAGGAGGAGUAGCAAUAGUUAAUCAACUUCUCUGACUCUUUGAAAUUUGCAGACCCAGAAAUUAAACCUGCGAAGCGCUGGGUAUCUCCUGCUCUUAGCGUAGCCAGGAUGGAGUCCCAAAAGACCAUUAGGUAAAUUUGAAGUAAUCUUAUAUAACUAAUGGAAAAAUCCUGUGACUUUUGGACAGCAGGUGGGUUUAUGAAACAAUCUCCUAACACCACCAGAAGCCAGUUGAGAGAUUACAAGUGCCAUAAUCUGCUCUAACAGUCCUCCUUUAACUCCUGUGCGCUGAAAUUCUAACCAGGGAAUGAGAUGGAGUGUACUAAGGGAGAUGCC